rnacentral:rRNA from 1 species
UACGUAGGGUGCGAGCGUUAAUCGGAAUUAUUGGACGUAAAGGGUGCGCAGGUGGUCGCGCAGGUCGAGCGUGAAAUCCCCAGGCUCAACCCGGGAAUUGCGCUUGAAACCGCGCAGCUGGAGUGCGGCAGAGGAAGGUGGAAUUCCGCAUGUAGCAGUGAAAUGCGUAGAGAUGUGGAGGAACACCGAUGGCGAAGGCAGCCUUCUGGGCCGUUACUGACGCUCAUGCACGAAAGCGUGGGGAGCAAACAGG